GGAUCGCAGGCUGCAACCCGCCUGCGUGAAGUUGGAAUCGCUAGUAAUCGCGGAUCAGCAUGCCGCGGUGAAUACGUUCCCGGGCCUUGUACACACCGCCCGUCACACCAUGAGAGUCGGGACACCCGAAGUCCGUAGCCUAACUGCGAAGGGGGGCGCGGCCGAAGGUGGAUUCGAUAAUUGGGGUGAAGUCGUAACAAGGUAAC
rnacentral:rRNA from 1 species